rnacentral:rRNA from 1 species
AGUGCGCACGGAGGAUGCCUAGGCGCCAGGAGCCGACGAAGGACGCGACGAACAGCGAUAUGCUUCGGGGAGCUGUAAGUGAGCUUUGAUCCGGAGAUUUCCGAAUGGGGAAACCCAGCCGAGGUAAUGCUCGGUUACUCAUCACUGAAUACAUAGGUGAUGUAGAGGCACACCAGGGGAACUGAAACAUCUAAGUACCCUGAGGAAGAGAAAACAACAGUGAUUCCGUCAGUAGCGGCGAGCGAACGCGGAUUAGCCCAAACCAAGGGGCUUGCCCCUUGGGGUUGUGGGACGUCUCACAUGGAGUUACAAAGGGAUAGGGUAGACGAAGAGGUCUGGAAAGGCCCGUCGUAGAAGGUAACAACCCUGUAGUCGAAAGUCUAUCCCCUCCGAGACGGAUCCCGAGUACCGCGAGACACGUGAAACCUCGUGGGAAUCCGGCAGGACCAUCUGCCAAGGCUAAAUACUCCCUGGCGACCGAUAGUGAAGCAGUACCGUGAGGGAAAGGUGAAAAGCACCGCGGGAGCGGAGUGAAAAAGAACCUGAAACCGUGCGCUUACAAGAAGUCAGAGCCCGAUCUAGGGGUGAUGGCGUGCCUUUUGUAGAAUGAACCGGCGAGUUACGUUCACGUGCAAGGUUAAGUCGAGGAGACGGAGCCGAAGCGAAAGCGAGUCUGAAUAGGGCGCUAUAGUACGUGGUCGUAGACCCGAAACCGUGUGAUCUACCCCUGUGCAGGGUGAAGGUGAGGUAAUACUCACUGGAGGCCCGAACUCGUGAGCGUUGAAAAGCUCUGGGAUGACGUGGGGGUAGGGGAGAAAUUCCAAUCGAACUCGGAGAUAGCUGGUUCUCCCCGAAAUAGCUUUAGGGCUAGCCUCGAGGUUGAGCAUCAUGGAGGUAGAGCACUGAUUGGGUGCGGGGCCCGCCAAGGGUUACCAAGUCCAGUCAAACUCCGAAUGCCAUGUAUGUAUACUCGGGAGUCAGACGGCGAGUGCUAAGAUCCGUCGUCAAGAGGGAAAGAGCCCAGAUCAUCAGCUAAGGUCCCCAAGUGUGUGUUAAGUGGGAAAGGAUGUGGAGUUGCGAAGACAACCAGGAUGUUGGCUUAGAAGCAGCCACCAUUUAAAGAGUGCGUAAUAGCUCACUGGUCGAGUGACUCUGCGCCGAAAAUGUAACGGGGCUAAACACACCACCGAAGCUAUGGCAUGUACCUAGUGGUACUUGGGUAGGGGAGCGUUGAAUGCGGGUUGAAGUCGUACCGGAAGGAACGGUGGACUGCAUUCAAGUGAGAAUGCCGGUAUGAGUAACGAAAAGAUCAGUGAGAAUCUGAUCCGCCGAAAGCCUAAGGGUUCCUGGGGAAGGUUCGUCCGCCCAGGGUAAGUCGGGACCUAAGGCGAGGCCGAAAGGCGUAGUCGAAGGACAACAGGUUGAAAUUCCUGUACCACCGUAAUCCGUUANGAGCGAUGGGGGGACGCAGGAGGGCAAAGACGCAGGCUGAUGGAAUAGCCUGUCUAAGCAGUGAGAGGUGUGUGUAGGCAAAUCCGCACACUGAUACCUCAAGCUGUGANGGGGAGGGAAAAUUACAGUACCGAAGGUCUUGCACCCACGCUGCCAAGAAAAGCCUCUAGCCAGGAGAAGGUGCCCGUACCGCAAACCGACACAGGUAGGCGAGAUGAAAAUUCUAAGGCGCGCGGAAGAACUCUCGUUAAGGAACUCGGCAAAAUGACCCCGUAACUUCGGGAGAAGGGGUGCCCCGGUAGCGUGAAUAGCGCGAGGGGGCCGCAGUGAAGAGGCCCAAGCGACUGUUUAGCAAAAACACAGGUCUGUGCGAAGCCGUAAGGCGAAGUAUACGGGCUGACGCCUGCCCGGUGCUGGAAGGUUAAGGGGAGCGGUUAGGAGCAAUCCGAAGCUGUGAACCGAAGCCCCAGUAAACGGCGGCCGUAACUAUAACGGUCCUAAGGUAGCGAAAUUCCUUGUCAGGUAAAUUCUGACCCGCACGAAUGGCGUAACGAUCUUGGGCGCUGUCU